UACGUAGGGGGCAAGCGUUGUCCGGAUUUAUUGGGCGUAAAGAGCUCGUAGGUGGUUCGGUAAGUCGGAUGUGAAAUCUCCAGGCUCAACCUGGAGGGGUCAUUCGAUACUGCCGUGACUAGAGGUCGGUAGGGGAGUGUGGAAUUCCCGGUGUAGCGGUGAAAUGCGCAGAUAUCGGGAAGAACACCUAUGGCGAAGGCAGCUCUCUGGGACGGUACUGACGCUGAGACGCGAAAGCGUGGGGAGCGAACAGG
rnacentral:rRNA from 1 species